AUUGAACGCUGGCGGCAGGCCUAACACAUGCAAGUCGAACGGUAACAGGGAUCAGCUUGCUGAUUCGCUGACGAGUGGCGGACGGGUGAGUAAUGUCUGGGAAACUGCCUGAUGGAGGGGGAUAACUACUGGAAACGGUAGCUAAUACCGCAUAACGUCGUAAGACCAAAGAGGGGGACCUUCGGGCCUCUUGCCAUCGGAUGUGCCCAGAUGGGAUUAGCUAGUAGGUGGGGUAACGGCUCACCUAGGCGACGAUCCCUAGCUGGUCUGAGAGGAUGACCAGCCACACUGGAACUGAGACACGGUCCAGACUCCUACGGGAGGCAGCAGUGGGGAAUAUUGCACAAUGGGCGCAAGCCUGAUGCAGCCAUGCCGCGUGUAUGAAGAAGGCCUUCGGGUUGUAAAGUACUUUCAGCGGGGAGGAAGGGAGUAAAGUUAAUACCUUGGCUCAUUGACGUUACCCGCAGAAGAAGCACCGGCUAACUCCGUG
rnacentral:rRNA from 1 species